rnacentral:rRNA from 1 species
UACGUAGGGUGCGAGCGUUGUCCGGAAUUAUUGGGCGUAAAGAGCUCGUAGGCGGUUCGUCGCGUCGGCUGUGAAAUCCCGAGGCUCAACCUCGGGUCUGCAGUCGAUACGGGCGGACUGGAGUUCGGCAGGGGAGACUGGAAUUCCUGGUGUAGCGGUGAAAUGCGCAGAUAUCAGGAAGAACACCAAUGGCGAAGGCAGCUCUCUGGGACGGUACUGACGCUGAGACGCGAAAGCGUGGGGAGCGAACAGG